AUGCUGCGCUGCCACAUCCCGCCGCAAUGCGGCCCGGCCCCGCUCGGCCGCCGCGGCCUGCCCCGGGCGUCGGCGGCGGUGCGCUGCGCCGCGCGGGCCCCGUCGCGGGGGACCGUGGCGGCGGCGGCGCAGGUCGCGGCGGCGGUGGCCACGGCCGAGGGGCGCGAGGGGGUGGAGCGGCCCGGCCUGGCGGAGCGGCUGCGGAUGGGGAGCCUCCUCGAGGACGGCCUCUCCUACAAGGAGAGCUUCAUCGUGCGCUGCUACGAGGUCGGCAUCAACAAGACCGCCACCGUCGAGACCAUCGCCAACCUCCUCCAGGAGGUAGGGUGUAAUCAUGCACAAAGCGUUGGGUUCUCCACCGACGGUUUUGCCACGACUACAACAAUGAGAGAACUUGGACUCAUUUGGGUCACAAAUAGGAUGCACAUUGAGAUCUACAAAUACCCUGCUUGGGGUGAUGUUGUUGAGAUUGAAACAUGGUGCCAAGCUGAUGGAAAGAUCGGUACUCGGCGUGAUUGGAUCCUUAAGGACUUAGCUAAUGGUGAAGUUAUUGGAAGAGCUACCAGCAAGUGGGUCAUGAUGAACCAAAAUACACGCAGACUUCAAAGAGUCAGUGACGAAGUCAGGGAUGAGGUGUUUAUCCACUGUCCAAAGAGUCCAAGAUUAGCAUUCCCUGAGGAAAAUAAUGGCAGUCUGAAGAAGAUUCCUGUUCUAACAGAUCCUGCACAGCACUCGAGGCUCGGUCUAGUGCCUAGAAGAGCUGAUCUGGACAUGAACCAACAUGUCAAUAAUGUCACUUACAUUGGUUGGGUCCUCGAAAGCAUACCUCAAGAUAUUAUUGAUACCCACGAGUUGCAAACAAUCACUCUUGACUACAGAAGAGAAUGCCAGCAUGAUGACAUAGUCGAUUCUCUCACCUAUAUAGAGGAAGGGGAUGAGAUAAAUUCUAAUGGAUCUCUGUUUUCAGCGCCGCACCCAGAAGAGCAGCGCCAGUUCUUGCACUGCUUGAGAUUUGCUGGGGCUGGGGAUGAGAUCAACCGUGGUCGCACCGUGUGGAGGAAACUAGCUAGAUAG
rnacentral:rRNA from 1 species